UGUAUUCACUACUGUAAGUCACUCUGGAUAAGAGCGUCUGCUAAAUGACAAAAA
rfam:Salmo salar isolate Sally breed double haploid chromosome ssa04, whole genome shotgun sequence.